UAUUUUAUGAAAAUGUUUUUGUGCGUAAAAAAAAUUGUUUUGCAUUUAGUUACAAAUUUAAACUUUUUCUAUAGGAUAAUAAUGAAGAUAGAGUUGCCUCAAUUAUUUGUUCAGAAUGAUUGGUAUUUAGUUAUCAGUGAAUCAAGCUCCAGUUUUUGGGUGUCCUGCUCAAUAGAAGGUGCACCAAGUAUAUAUGGCAUGAUAAACUCGUGGAUGAAAGAUGGCGCUGUUGAAUUAAUAGCAUCUAAUGGUUUUGAAGUACAGUUAGUUAGGAAGGGUGUGCUGAUGGUUAAAAGUUUAGACUUUAAUAUAACAACUUAUUUCUUUUCACCAAUAAAAGAAUUUAACAAUAUUCAUAAAAGUUAUGUACGUUGUAUGGAUUUGUCACCAAGUGGCAGUCUUGCUGUUUCUUGUAGUUAUGGAGCUUUGUGUGUAUGGCAAACAGAUGAUGGACUUACACGACGUACAUUGGAUGGACAUUUUGGGGACCCUUCACAUUGUCGGUUCUUUCCAUCUGGAGUUGUUGUGUUAUCAGGAGGAGAUGAUAUGCUUUUGAAGAUCUGGUCAACAGAAGAUGGAUCUUGUCCCGUCACUUUAAUUAAGCAUAAAGGAGCUAUUACUGACACCUCAAUUAUCGAAAGAGGAAGAAAUUUUAUAUCGUGCAGCCGAGAUGGUCGAGCUUUUCUGUGGGAUUGCAGCAGUGCAAAAUGCAUCGCAACUCUUUUAGAAAGUGAAACUGUUCUUAAUUGUUGUUCACUUAUUUCUUAUGGAAGCAGUUUUCAAAAUAAUGAAAGAAGUCAGUUUGAAUAUGGUACCGAUGGAAAAAUGCUUGUUGUUGGUCAAGAAAGUGGUUAUGUACAAGCUGUAGAUGUUUCUUCGAAAACUAAAGUUUACAGCCUUAAUUGUGACUCCCCUGUAAACGAUUGCUGUUUCGCAAGCGAGAACAAGCUUAUAACUGGACAUCAAGAUGGAAGAAUCAAUUUAUUUGAUAUUAGGCAUACAACUUCUCCGCUAUAUGAUUAUAAAUGUGGUAAAUCGAGUGUGAAGUGUUUGGAAAGGUUAUCUGAUGAUAGCAUUCUUAUUGGAAGAGAAGACGGUUCCUGCAGUUGCAUUCAAAUGAACGAUAUUAGUGUUACCAUAGAAAUGUCUGGCCCCAAUUGCGACUCUAUUUAUAAUGUUAGCUCAAAUAGUCCGUUUGUGUAUACUGCUUGUAGAGAUAAAGUAAUACGUAAAUAUAAAAUGGAUAUUAAAACAUAGCGUGUACUUAGUGUGUAUAGCUUUUAAACUGUAUUGCGCACUUCGUUAAAAUUACGAAAACAUUUUGUUUUUGUUUUGGAUAAAAACCUGUGAUGAAUUAUUUAUCUUUUUUUUUUCAGCAAAUGAUUUUAAUUGAGAAUGGUUAAUGUGCUAAGAGCUUUUUUAUGAAAUCGUUUGUCUACUUAUUUUAAUUUUUAAUAUUAUCUAUAUUUGAAAUAUUAUUUUUUCUUAUCUUCAAAGAUGAAUUUUUUUUGGUGUACUCUGUGUCUAUUUACUUUACCAUUAGUCAGCAAUUUGGAAUGUUAUUCGUGUUCUUCAAGCAGUCAAAAAGAAUGUCUUUUCAAUAUAACUAUUAAAAAAUGUAAAUCCGAACAAACACGUUGCAUGAUGGCAUCGUAUGUUAUUGAAGAAAACAGUCAAACAUUAAGAAAAAAUAUAUACGAUUGCUCAGACAUUUCUUGUGAUGUUUUGUGCUUAAUGGAAAGAUUUCAAAAUUGUAAUAGAACAUGUUGCGACAAAAGUUUAUGUAACGAAAUCAUACCGACGUUAUCACCAAAAGUAUCUCAAUAUGACAAUUCGAAAUCUAAAAGUAUCCUAACAUCACAAAAAGAAAAAGACAAAAUAUCUCAAAUAAAUAUUCCGACACCAAAGCCAUCGAUAGUAUUCGCUGAAGGUAGCCGGCAGUGUGGUUCUUACAUUUUGACUUUAAUUCUUCUUUUAAAUAUUUUUUUAUAUAAUUAUUGAUUGCGGCUUUAAUUUUUAUAUGACAACAUUAAUUUAUUUUUUUUUAUUUUAAUGAACUUGUUUAACACAAAGUACUUUUUAGAGUAUAUUAAAUGUAUACAACCUUAA